rnacentral:rRNA from 1 species
GACGUAGGAGGCGAGCGUUGUCCGGAUUCAUUGGGCGUAAGAGCACGCAGGCGGUUUGGCAAGUCGGAUGUGAAAACCAGAAGCUUAACUUCUGGCCUGCAUCCGAUACUGCCCGACUAGAGGUAGGUAGGGGAGAUCGGAAUUCCUGGUGUAGCGGUGAAAUGCGCAGAUAUCAGGAGGAACACCGGUGGCGAAGGCGGAUCUCUGGGCCUUACCUGACGCUCAGGUGCGAAAGCUAGGGGAGCGAACAGG